rnacentral:lncRNA from 1 species
UCCUCACCCAACAAGAGAACCCUUUUGAUUUAACAGGCACCCUUGAAUUAGAUAGAUUAAGCAUCACUUCCCCACAGAUUCUCUUGCAUUCACUGCCUUUCACCAUGGAAUCAAGCCAGGGACAUUCAGGUUGACCCACCAUGGCUUUGUAAGCUGAGUUUGCUAGCCUGACUUUGUUGUUGGAAUCAGAUAUAAUUGUUGGCAUGGACUCAGAUUCUAUAUCAUCUUCAACCUCCUCUGGUUUCUUAGGGGCUUGCAAUGGUGCUGCUGGUGCUGGUGCUUCAUUAAUGCACCCAACAAUGAUGGUUGAACCCACUGGUCUAAUUGGCUGAG